UUGAGCUCCGUAGAAACGACUCAAGAUGCCUAUAAGCAUAAAUAAUUUUGAUGCUAAGAAAUAUAUUUGGGGAUGCUUUCAUGGAACGUUGGACAGGCUCAGCAAGACGUUUUCUAAUCUUCUGUAAACCGGCUUAGAGUAAAUUGUUUGUCUUCGGCAAAAAAUGUGAUUUAUCUCUACUCCUAAUCUCUAUUUUUAAUGGAGCAGUUGGUAGGAUUGCGUCCAGCUUUUUUUUCGUCCCACCACUUCUGUCCGGUUUUUUGAUUGGUUUUUUCGUCCCCUCCCCCUAUCCCUUUUCCAUGGGUUUAUUUUCCUCUUCGCUCUUUUCUUGUAAAUCAAUACUUUUCUAAGGUAUAAAAGAUCACAGGUCUAACUUUCUUAAUCUCUACUAGUAUAUAUUAAAGUAAAAAAGGAUAUAGAUAUAUUAAUUAAACAUGGAUCAUCCAAAUAAAUCUUUUUAUACUUAUUCUAUAUAUUCAGAAUAUCACACAAAAGACACAAUUUUGAGUGAAGAAACAAAGUAUACUUGGUUUAUGUUGGAGAAGGGCGACGCUGAAAAGGGCCAAAAAUCCACCGAGUUUUUCACAACAUAAUGAUGUGGAGGCAAUGAUAUCUCAUAAAAACCAAAAAAGUAUGUCAAUUUAAAUGUUAUCGCACAAGGUAUUCUUUUCAAUGUUAUUAUCGAUCUUUCUUUCAUCAUAUUGCCUUUUGUAUUCAACCAAUUUGUCUCAUUUUAAUACAAAUUUGGCUCAUUUUUGUAUCAUGACGAUAGACUAUGUUUGUAUCCCUAGAGCUAUUACAGUCAUCGAAUCAAUCAUGUCUGCCUUAAGAAAACCAAGUUCGUGGACAUUGAAGAUGCCUUGUUAUCAAACGACGAUUUGGAAUGCUUUAUGAAGGAUGGUAUGUUCUUACAGGAUGGUGUAAGACCAAUUGCAUAAACUUUGUAAUUAAUAAUAUAAACAAUAUAUAAUAUCGUAAAACAUAUAUAUUAUGGUGAUUGUGGAAUUACAGCUGGCUCACGAUCAUCUAUGAGAUAGGGCGGGUGAAAAGGUACAUAUUACUAGCACGUUUAUUUCUGCCAGAUGAAAGAAGACGGAGAAAGAGACAUAGAAGCAUCAAAAUUUGUUAAGUGCAUCAAGUAUAUCUCAGUAAUUUUUAAUAGAUUUUUAGUUGGAUCAUCCCUUAUAUGUAUACAUUGUUAAUGUGCUAUUUUGUUAUCACUUUACAUUACAAAGUUAAGUGGACUUAAAUUAUUAUGUAAUUGGGACCGUGUUAUAGUGUCUCUAUCUUUGACGAUUUCAGAAGCCCGUGGCAACGCACGGCCAUUCUACUAGUCUCUACUCCUAAUGGAGCAGUUGGUAGGAUUGCGUCUAGGUUUUUUUCGUCCCACCACUUUCGUCCGGUUUUUUUGAUUGGUUUUUUUUUUGUCCCCUCCCCAUACCCCUUUUCCAUCGGUUUAUUUUCCUUUUCACUCUUUCCUUGUAAACCAAUACUUUUCUAAGGUAUAAAAGAUCACAAGUCUAACUUUCUUAACUUACCUAAAUCACACGAUCCCUCCCAUCAAUGCAAUUUGCUUUAAGAAAUAAAAUAACAAAUUUUAAGGAAACAAAUAACGGAAUUUAAGAAAAAACUCAAUCAACUGUUAUGAAGAGAAUCAUGACUUACCUUUUCUUCUCCAAUCCUUCCCAACCAAUCUCCGAAUCUUUAUUGUCUUCAAUUCUACUUCCUGCCUUCCCCCACGUCUUCUUUCGCAUAGCGACCGCCGCCGCUGCGCCCUCUUCUGCCGGAUCGCACAUGCUCCUGUUGUAGCCGUCUUCCACCAUACUGAAGCGGUCGUCGCCAACAGAACGCCUCAACAAGGUACAUCGCCUGCCUGCCCUGCCGCCGGUGGGGCUUGCGCGCUCACCGGCGGCACAUCAACAGCAUGCCGCCACUGCAGGGACCCAACGCUGCGCAACCCAACCCGGCUUGCUUCGCCACCCCUUCCCCUCCGUCUUCCUCUCCUCCGGUCAGUGCAGUGCUACUGCCGCCACGGACGGGAUCGUGCAACUCGAUCAAUUCCCAGCAGGAUCCAUUCCUCGCACUGACGCGCACGUCGGAGCCGCUCGAAUGCGGAUGCGGACGGCCUCGCCCUCUCGCUAACCGAACCGAGCUCCAUCCCAUCGCGUCCCCUUUCUCUCCGGCUAGCUAUACUUCUCCGGCGACUAAAGACGUCUUUUUUCCCACCGAGACGAGACGAGACGACCUCGUCUCCUUCCUCUCCUCCGCUCAAUCACUGCCGACGCCACGAUGGACGAGAUUGUCCAGCGAUCCGAUUCCAGCGACUCGGUUUUUCGAUCGCGCGUCUCCUCACGAAUCCUUCCCCUUUUUCUUCUCCCGGCCGAUUACAAUUUAUAUAGAGAGUGGCAAUUCGGUGCUCGAGCUCAGCUGCACCUCAUAUCUUGUUCGUUGGCUGAUGCGUUGGGAUUGGGAAAAGAGGGACAGAUGUGUCAGAGCUAGUUCGACUGAAAAGCGGAAUACGGCUGGGCAGUGCUCUGGCAGAAGAGGGCGCAGCUGCACCUCAUAUUUUGUUCGAGCUCAGCUGCACCUCAUAUUUUGUUGCAGUCCUAAGCAAACUGAGUUAGCUGUUCACUCGUUACAGGCUACGGCUGGGCAGUGCUCUGCCGGAUAAAACUCCAUGCCCAUCGACAGUUCCUGAUUCAGUCAAUACCGAUGUCUCAAUACUGAUGUAAAUGUUCAAUCACUUGAGAAAAAUGUUUACAACUCGUCGACGGUUCCUGAUUCAGUCAAUUUAAAUGCUGAUGCACAUCAAUUUAUCAGCACAAACAUUUUUUAGGGACUGUUUUGUCCAGACAUAUGGUUCUCAUUUCCAUAAAAUUUCACCAAAAUUGCAUAUCAUUUAGUAGGCAUAAGAAUAAGAAUAUAUAUAUAUAUAUAUAUAUAUUUCGCUCGAAAUGGCAUUGCGGCAAAAUAUUUAAGUGAACCUGAAUUUGAGCAGAAUUAAAAUAGCACACAAAUUUCAUCCAACUCUGGUUCAGUCAAAUUUAAGUCAGAAUUUUUGUCACUCAGCCAAACUGAACUGAAAUAACAAUGCAGUUGAUUCCAGUGAUGGCCCAAUUCUGAUUGCAAUCAAGAAAAUGAGCUGUGAUAAAACAUUUCAUAGAUCCAAAGUACAUUAUGGUCAACUGUAUUUCCUCGUCAUAGAAUAUCUUUAGGGCUUGUUCGGUUAAUCCUCUCCCCAAGAGGAUUGGAGGGGAUUGGCAAGGAUUGGUUUGUAUUUUGACUUACAAGAGGUUUAAAUCCCCCUCAAACCCCUUCAAUCCACUCGGUUUGGCACGCAACCGAACGAGGCCUUAGUGGAUUGUUAAGCAUUGCGACUUCUUUUUAUUAUCUUUAUCAUUAUUCUUUGUUGCUAUUGCUGCUAAUGCACAUUAUAUUUUCUUAAAACACUUGCUUCUUGGGUUGAUCCAUGAGGAUGAUGGUGCAGCAGCCAUUGUACUUAAGAACUUAAAGGCUGAUCUCGGCAACAUACGCAACGAGGUUAUCAGAAUGAUUGCUGACAUGUCUGAAGAUCAAACAUGUAAAGACAGCUAUCGCGGAAGGCCUUGCGUAGCACAUUGCCACCUGGGAUGUGCCUGAAACAGUUGAAGGGAAAACGAUUUGUGUCCAUUGCAUCUCUUGUGCUAAAUAUCUUAUCCUAGAGUAACUCAGGUUAAUAUUAGUUUGACGUUGUUCCGAACAGAUUUUCUAAUUCCAGUGAUAAUCAUUGUAUUCAUGGCUCUUGUCUCUUAACAAAAUUGAUGUGCAAGUUCUAGCCGGUUCCAAUCAAGCUAAUGGCUUUUCUGCUGGUACUUUGAUGGCUUAAUUAAUUAGGAGGAUCGAUACCUCAAAAAGGAGUUCGUGUGCAGAACCAAGAAGCAGAGAUGAAGAGGCGUCAAGAAAGAGGAACUCAGAUGAGAAAUUCUGAAUUUUCAAUGCUCAUUUCAUGUAUUUAAUAUUCUGAAAUAUUGAAGAUCUGUACUUUUGGUUAUUAAUAUGUGUUUAGAAUAAUUAUUCAAAGUAAAAUCUGUGUUUAGAAUAACUGUGUUCACCUUCUAUACCUAGAAUAACUAUUCACAGUAAUAUCUUGAUGUGUAUAGCAGCUAGUAUGCAAAGUUGAUCAUGGUGCUACCGGGAGGCGCUCGCAAUGUUUUGUCCUCCGUUGACCAUAUCAGCUUGUAAAAUCAAUACAGUACAGACCAAGCAAUACUGCAUAUUGGCCUUUCCUGACAGAUGUUUGUUGUUCAGUUUAUAAAAAAGUUUGCCAACAAAAUUAUUCAGUGGCAAGACUA